rnacentral:rRNA from 1 species
UACGUAGGUGGCGAGCGUUGUCCGGAUUUACUGGGCGUAAAGCGCGCGCAGGCGGCAGUCUAAGUCCUCUGUGAAAUCACCCGGCUCAACUGGGUGGCUGCGGAGGAGACUGGGCAGCUUGAGGGGCCUAGAGGCCGGUGGAACUCCCGGUGUAGUGGUGAAAUGCGUAGAGAUCGGGAAGAACACCAGUGGCGAAGGCGGCCGGCUGGGGGUGCCCUGACGCUGAGGCGCGAGAGCGUGGGGAGCGAACAGG